ACUGUUUGAAAGCAAUUUUUUGUUGGUUUUAGCCUCUUUUGGGAUAAAAUGGGUAUAAGUGUUGUUUAACCACUCCUAAUCCAUCUCUAACUCUUAUAAUUAGUCAAAUGCAUUGGAUGGUGACACAUUUUGACCAUAGAAACACAAACAAAGCUAUUUACUGCUUCUAACAAUUUUUUAUUGGUUUUAUCCUCUUUUGGGAGAAAAUGGGUAUAAGUGUUGUCUAAACACUCCUAAUCCAUCUCUAACUCUUAUAAUUAGUCAAAUGCAUUGGACUGUGACACAUUUUGACCAUAGAACCACGAACAAAGCUAUUUACUGCUUCUAAGCAAUUUUUUCUUGGUUUUACCCUCUUUUGGGAUAGAAUGGGUAUAAGUGUUGUCCAAACAUUCCUAAUCCAUCUUUAACUCUUAUAAUUAGUAAAAUGCAUUGGAUUGUGACACAUUUUGACCAUAAAACACCAACGAAACUGCUUACUCCUUCUAAAGAAUUCUUUCUUGGUUUAAGCCUCUUUUGGA
rnacentral:sRNA from 1 species